AGACGGGUGAGUAACGCGUGGGAACGUACCUUUUGGUUCGGAACAACACAGGGAAACUUGUGCUAAUACCGGAUAAGCCCUUACGGGGAAAGAUUUAUCGCCGAAAGAUCGGCCCGCGUCUGAUUAGCUAGUUGGUGAGGUAAUGGCUCACCAAGGCGACGAUCAGUAGCUGGUCUGAGAGGAUGAUCAGCCACAUUGGGACUGAGACACGGCCCAAACUCCUACGGGAGGCAGCAGUGGGGAAUAUUGGACAAUGGGGGCAACCCUGAUCCAGCCAUGCCGCGUGAGUGAUGAAGGCCCUAGGGUUGUAAAGCUCUUUUGUGCGGGAAGAUAAUGACGGUACCGCAAGAAUAAGCCCCGGCUAACUUCGUGCCAGCAGCCGCGGUAAUACGAAGGGGGCUAGCGUUGCUCGGAAUCACUGGGCGUAAAGGGUGCGUAGGCGGGUCUUUAAGUCAGGGGUGAAAUCCUGGAGCUCAACUCCAGAACUGCCUUUGAUACUGAGGAUCUUGAGUUCGGGAGAGGUGAGUGGAACUGCGAGUGUAGAGGUGAAAUUCGUAGAUAUUCGCAAGAACACCAGUGGCGAAGGCGGCUCACUGGCCCGAUACUGACGCUGAGGCACGAAAGCGUGGGGAGCAAACAGGAUUAGAUACCCUGGUAGUCCACGCCGUAAACGAUGAAUGCCAGCCGUUAGUGGGUUUACUCACUAGUGGCGCAGCUAACGCUUUAAGCAUUCCGCCUGGGGAGUACGGUCGCAAGAUUAAAACUCAAAGGAUUUGACGGGGGCCCGCACAAGCGGUGGAGCAUGUGGUUUAAUUCGACGCAACGCGCAGAACCUUACCAGCCCUUGACAUGUCCAGGACCGGUCGCAGAGAUGUGACCCUCUCU
rnacentral:rRNA from 1 species